rnacentral:rRNA from 1 species
UACGGAGGGGGCUAGCGUUGUUCGGAAUUACUGGGCGUAAAGCGCGCGUAGGCGGACCUGCAAGUCGGGGGUGAAAGCCCGAGGCUCAACCUCGGAACUGCCUUCGAUACUGAGGAUCUUGAGUACGGGAGAGGUGAGUGGAACUGCGAGUGUAGAGGUGAAAUUCGUAGAUAUUCGCAAGAACACCGGUGGCGAAGGCGGCUCACUGGCCCGUUACUGACGCUGAGGCACGGAAAGCGAUGGGGAGCAA